GCGGGGUGUGAGGGAAAGGCCUCUCGGCGGAGGGCGGGAGGGAGCCGGUUCCCCCGCGGAGCUGUUCAUCCCGUUGUCAGACUGGGAGAGCGCUGCAGGAGCAGGCAGUGAGGUGGUGCCGGGACAAGCAGGCACAGCCGAGGAGGGAGCCGGGAGCUGCAGCUCGGUGUAAGCCCUGGAAGGGCUCUCGACAGAGGGGUUUGAGUUUGCACGGGCUGCAGUGCCACUGGAGAUCGAACCUGAGCCUUGGAAACCGGAGGUGAGGAAGCAGAAGGGCUGGGAAAUGAAGCGCUCUGGAGCUAGGCUCUUUCCAAACUCCCAGGGAGCAAAAUUACAAGCACUAAAGUAAUCGUCAUUAGCGAGGCAGCGUGCACGCAGCCAAGACAGCCAGAUGAGACAGGUGGGCACAGCGAUGGCAGCGCCGCUUUACAAUUGCUCUGCAAUGCCUUUAAAUCCCCGUUUCCAAACUCCAGCGGAACUUUGGAUUUUGUUCUUGGAAUUUCCAGUGCUGUUACUCUUGCCCGUGGUGGUUGAUCCCCAUCUCUGGGCCACUCCAGGGAAGGGGAGAUCCUGCAGGCAUCAGGCUGCUUGCACUCAACUACCCGUUUUUCCCACCGCUUUCCAAACAAUACAGUUUUUCUUUCCAGUAACUUUUGGCUGGCUGCGUGAAGUGACCAUUUCCAGAGAAAUCCUUAUUUCUGCUGCUGAGCAGGACUUGCUGGCACAGAAGGAAUGGAUGGAAGAAAACAUUGUGUUGUGCAAGAGGACCGAAAACGCUGGCUUUGAGAAGAAACGCAGCCCUGGAAAUAGUAAGGGAGAGUGUUUGGGUUGUUUUUCCAUGGAAAAGGUUUACAACCUUUUCCUCCGCCUCCAGCACAGAUGGGAUCUUUAUCCCUCCUCAAAGGGUGCAGCAUAUCUGAGCUGUUCCCAUUCAAAGCCAGAGUUGGUGAUCUCCAUCCUUCUCUUUUUAUUCCUACCAGACACCCAGGCCAUGAGUCUUGGAAAAGUUUUGGUUCUCUGUGUCCACACCAUGUGGAACUGAGCUAGAAGGCACAACCACCUUUACCAUGUGCACAGAGUGGGCUUGGUUGGGAUUUCACAGCCUGUGGGAGAGAGACAUGGGCUGGGCACAUUUGUGGGGCCACGUGGGACACUUGGCAUCACCUGCAGCUUUCGGAUCUGGACCCAACACUUUGCCAAAAGCCCCGCUGAGCUACAGAGAGCUGCUGCUGACAGCACAGGAUUAACAAUAAACUGCAAACAUUGCCUUCCUGCACGUGUGUUGAGAAGAAAGCCCAGCUGGGUGAAAAAGUUUGGCAGUGAGGAGGGAGGGCCCCAAGAACCUUUCUUCAGAGGAUGAGAGGUCUCUCAGAGAAGCCACUCUGCAAUGGGUGCCUGGAGGGAAACUCUGGGGCAGCCUGAGCCAGAGGAACAUAUCACACUGCCUGGGCUGAUGCUGCUCCAGGAGACAGCUGGGUGGAAAAGGUCCCUGGAAGGAUGGGACACCGCAGCUGAAGCAGAACCACUCUGCAAGCAGGAAGCACACAGCUCCAGAGAUGCUCCCAGCACUCACCUCUCAUGCACUCCUAUGCACUGGGACAUGCAGCCCUUCCAGACGGACUCCCUGCUGCCUCUGGUUCUGUUCCAGCCUUCCAGUGCUUGUGUCUGACCUGGGUUUGGCACAGCCAAGCCAGUCCAUACCCAGAGCACAGGGGAAAGCUUCUCCUUGUGCUAGUCCUAGAAAGACACUGGCAUCCUUUACUUUUUUUAGGCUCCAGCUGAGCAAACACAGGUGCUGCUCUUCACACCCGCCAGCUGCCCUGCUCUGGGGCACAAGCUCUCACUGGCUCUAGGGCUUCAUUUUCACAAGCUGCCUUUUCUCUUCCCUCAUCCCUAAGCCUCAGGCUGCAGCUGCUGCUCUGGGACUGGCACCACUUGCACCUGAAUGCACUGGGGCUGCCUGACAGCCCAGGAGUUCCCCCUAAUUUCUGUGCCCUACAUGCCUGCUCAGAGGGGAUCCAGAAGCACAGAGGUGAUGCCUGCACCCCCAAAUCCUGCAGCAAAAGGCAGCAGGAGGCAGAUGCCAUGGCCAGACAGGAAACUUGUCAAGGCCCUGGGAAAAGAGGCAGAAGCUUGGAGCAGGGUGGCUUGUCUCCCCCCUGGCUACACCAGCCCAUUGUGCUGCCCUCCCUUCUGACACUACCCUGCCUGCCCAGGAAAGCUUCAUGCAGUCUGGUUAUCCCUGUCUCAGCCUCACCCAGGCCAGGAGAAGCCCUAAACAUAGCCCUGUGCUCCUCAAAGUCCCUGUGUAGCUAAGGGAUGGGGUCAGCUAGUUUUUAGAGAUCACAGCCCGUGCAAAGCCCUGAAUUCCCUCCUUCUCUCCUGCCCAAUGCCCCCACGACAGCAAAGAGGACUGGUCACUGGUGGUAUAUUUAUAUAUCAAUACAAAUAAAAACAAAACAACUCCCAAAAAAGUAACGACAACAAAAAGGUUUCUCUGAGAGCAAAAUAGGAACAUUUACAAAUACUUCUGGCUCUGGCUUGAAUCAAGUUAAUGUUAAAUACAAAAAAAAAUAAACAAACACAAAAAAAUACCCAAAAAGAAAACUAAACCUCCCAAACCCUGUGCCUCCCACCCCCAAGAUUAUAAAAAAAUAAGAAUAUACACAUUCAAAGAGCUUAUUACAGUAUAAAGCUGGGGAGGCCCAGGCAGUGGUGGGGGCUGGGGCCGGGGCAGAGGCUCGUUGUCUCUCCAGGUUUGGGGUUUAUUCUUGCUCAGCGCUUUCCCAGCCUAUGACUCAAUGCAGGGCUGGGCCUGCGGGUUCCCAGUGGCAGCUUGGGAAAGCCAGACAACCUGGAGAGCCGGUCGGUCCCCAUGGCCCCGUCACCUCGUACCUAGUGACUCCCACAGCGGUGCCCAAGGGCCAGGGGAUGCCUGCAAGCUCAGCACCCUCCAGACAACCCAAUCCUCCAGAUCCUCCUAGGAGCACAGCUGCUAUCUCUCUCCAUGGGGAAGAUGAGACAAAGGAACAGGGGGGACACCAUCAAGUAUCCUUGUGCUUCCAGCGGGAUCAGCACAGGAGUGGGUACCGGGUCCCAGCGCUGCCCAUGAGGGGAAAUAAGGGGAAGGGGGAAGACAAGACAGAGCCAGGACCAAGACCAAACUCACCGCUCCAGAGAUCACAGCAGUGAGGUGGCAGGACAGCGGGAACCCCCGGGAGCUGCUAAAGGGUAAGUUGUAUAUAUGUAUCUAUAUAAUAGCCGGGGGGUCACAGCGGGGGUAUAUUAUAUACACACAUACAUACAGACACACAGAUGGAGCGUCAGGUGAGACCGAAGCAUGUGCCUCUUCCUCAGCUGCACUACUGGGAAUACAUUUCCUAGGACUUUGCAAAGCCCCUCUCUAGGUACAUCUCAGGUGGUCCCAACAACAACAAAAAAACCCCCAAAAACCCCCCAAAAAAAAAAAAACAAAACAAAAAA